AACAGGGAUUGCCUUAGUAACGGCGAGUGAAGCGGCAAUAGCUCAAAUUUGAAAGCUGGCCCCUUCGGGGUCCGCGUUGUAAUUUGUAGAGGAUGAUUCGGCGAGGGCUCCCGUCUAAGUCCCUUGGAACAGGGCGUCAUAGAGGGUGAGAAUCCCGUAUGUGAUGGGCUGCCUUAGCCAUGUGAAUCUCCUUCGACGAGUCGAGUUGUUUGGGAAUGCAGCUCUAAAUGGGAGGUAAAUUUCUUCUAAAGCUAAAUACCGGCCAGAGACCGAUAGCGCACAAGUAGAGUGAUCGAAAGAUGAAAAGCACUUUGGAAAGAGAGUUAAAAAGUACGUGAAAUUGUUGAAAGGGAAGCGCUUGCAGCCAGACUUGUCCGCAGUUGCUCAGCUUGUCUCCUGACAGGCGUACUCUUCUGCGGCCAGGCCAGCAUCAGUUCGGGCGGUCGGAUAAAGGCCCGGGGAAUGUAGCUCCUCUCGGGGAGUGUUAUAGCCCCGGGUGCAAUGCGGCCAGCCUGGACUGAGGAUCUCGCUUCGGCUAGGAUGCUGGCGUAAUGGCUGUAAGCGGCCCGUCUUGAAACACGGACCAAGGAGUCUAACAUCUAUGCGAGUGUUUGGGUGUCAAACCCAUGCGCGUAAUGAAAGUGAACGGAGGUGGGAACCCUCACGGGUGCACCAUCGACCGAUCCUGAUGUCUUCGGAUGGAUUUGAGUAAGAGCAUAGCUGUUGGGACCCGAAAGAUGGUGAACUAUGCCUGAAUAGGGUGAAGCCAGAGGAAACUCUGGUGGAGGCUCGCAGCGGUUCUGACGUGCAAAUCGAUCGUCAAAUUUGGGUAUAGGGGCGAAAGACUAAUCGAACCAU
rnacentral:rRNA from 1 species